UGGGCACUUAUAUGUCAAUUUCAUUUAAAGGUGAAGAGAACUUUUUAUAAAUGUUCUGGGGAAGUUGAGUAGUUUCCUGUUCAUCCUUUGUGAGAACAGAGGGUGGAUCGUUCCACUACUGACGUUU